rnacentral:rRNA from 1 species
AAAUUGAAGAGUUUGAUCAUGGCUCAGAUUGAACGCUGGCGGCAGGCCUAACACAUGCAAGUCGAACGGUAGCACAGAGAGCUUGCUCUCGGGUGACGAGUGGCGGACGGGUGAGUAAUGUCUGGGAAACUGCCUGAUGGAGGGGGAUAACUACUGGAAACGGUAGCUAAUACCGCAUAACGUCGCAAGACCAAAGAGGGGGACCUUCGGGCCUCUUGCCAUCAGAUGUGCCCAGAUGGGAUUAGCUAGUAGGUGGGGUAACGGCUCACCUAGGCGACGAUCCCUAGCUGGUCUGAGAGGAUGACCAGCCACACUGGAACUGAGACACGGUCCAGACUCCUACGGGAGGCAGCAGUGGGGAAUAUUGCACAAUGGGCGCAAGCCUGAUGCAGCCAUGCCGCGUGUAUGAAGAAGGCCUUCGGGUUGUAAAGUACUUUCAGCGGGGAGGAAGGUGUUGUGGUUAAUAACCACAGCAAUUGACGUUACCCGCAGAAGAAGCACCGGCUAACUCCGUGCCAGCAGCCGCGGUAAUACGGAGGGUGCAAGCGUUAAUCGGAAUUACUGGGCGUAAAGCGCACGCAGGCGGUCUGUCAAGUCGGAUGUGAAAUCCCCGGGCUCAACCUGGGAACUGCAUUCGAAACUGGCAGGCUAGAGUCUUGUAGAGGGGGUAGAAUUCCAGGUGUAGCGGUGAAAUGCGUAGAGAUCUGGAGGAAUACCGGUGGCGAAGGCGGCCCCUGGACAAAGACUGACGCUCAGGUGCGAAAGCGUGGGGAGCAAACAGGAUUAGAUACCCUGGUAGUCCACGCCGUAAACGAUGUCGACUUGGAGGUUGUGCCCUUGAGGCGUGGCUUCCGGAGCUAACGCGUUAAGUCGACCGCCUGGGGAGUACGGCCGCAAGGUUAAAACUCAAAUGAAUUGACGGGGGCCCGCACAAGCGGUGGAGCAUGUGGUUUAAUUCGAUGCAACGCGAAGAACCUUACCUACUCUUGACAUCCAGAGAACUUAGCAGAGAUGCUUUGGUGCCUUCGGGAACUCUGAGACAGGUGCUGCAUGGCUGUCGUCAGCUCGUGUUGUGAAAUGUUGGGUUAAGUCCCGCAACGAGCGCAACCCUUAUCCUUUGUUGCCAGCGGUCCGGCCGGGAACUCAAAGGAGACUGCCAGUGAUAAACUGGAGGAAGGUGGGGAUGACGUCAAGUCAUCAUGGCCCUUACGAGUAGGGCUACACACGUGCUACAAUGGCGCAUACAAAGAGAAGCGAACUCGCGAGAGCAAGCGGACCUCAUAAAGUGCGUCGUAGUCCGGAUUGGAGUCUGCAACUCGACUCCAUGAAGUCGGAAUCGCUAGUAAUCGUAGAUCAGAAUGCUACGGUGAAUACGUUCCCGGGCCUUGUACACACCGCCCGUCACACCAUGGGAGUGGGUUGCAAAAGAAGUAGGUAGCUUAACCUUCGGGAGGGCGCUUACCACUUUGUGAUUCAUGACUGGGGUGAAGUCGUAACAAGGUAACCGUAGGGGAACCUGCGGUUGGAUCACCUCCUUA